CGGGUUAGGGCAUUUACAUGGAAAACGUGUCUCUACUUUUAUUUAGGUUAAAAUUUUGUAGUUUCAGAAAUUGCUUCCAGCACCAAUUACUUUCGUAAGUAGACACUGUAUAUGUUCGAUAUUCUUUGGAGGUUGAUUUGCUGGAAUAUGCUCGCUGUCAACAUGCUAUUAGCAUAAAUCCUACUGUAUGUGGCUCUAUUUCCUGCAUCUGAUAAUUCGAUGCUAACAAAUCACUCCUGUAUCGCAGAUCAAUCCUAUCUAAAUUUGGGGGGGGGUCGUAAUUUAUUAAUUUUCUCCAAAUAUCUUGUAGAUUCACUUUAUCGUGCUUGGUAAACAUGCUGUUAGCAUAAAUUCAAUGUAGCCACGUUCCCUGCGUUUGCUGAUUUCUAUGCUUCAAAAUUCACUCCUGUCACUCUCAGUUCUGUUAUUCAAGUGAGAAAGUCGAGUCAGGUUAUGGGCAGUUACUAAUUGUGAUAGAAACAGUGGCAAGCAAUGUAAAGCUAGCUUGGCCAUUUAACUGUAAUGUGCUCAGUGUCAACAUGCUAUUAGCAUAAAUGCUACUGUAUGUAACUAUCUUUCCUGUAUUUGAUAAUUCGAUGCUAAAAACUCACUCCCGUAUCUCAGGUCAAUCCUGUCAUCUAAAUUUUGGGUGGACAUAAUUUAUUUUCUGUCAAUAUCUUGCACAUUCACUUCAACGUGCUUGGUGUCAACAUGCUGUUAGCAUAAAUUCAAUGUCGCCACGUUUCCUGUGUUUGCUGAUUUCUAUGCUUCAAACUCACUCCUGUCACUCUCAGUCCUGUUAUUCAAAUGAGAAAGUCGAGUCAAGUUAUUGGCAGUUACGAAGUUAUGAUAGAAACUGCGGUAAGCAAAAUCAAGCUAGCUUGGCCGUUUCCACAGCCCCCGUCAUGUGCACUUUUGUGGAAAUUACAAGCCGACCUGUCUCGUAAUUUGAGGUAUCGGAGGGGAGAUGCAUAAAAGCAUUAUUGUAAAAAAUGCAAGUUUGAGAGCGUUUCGACAUCAGGCAAUUAUUUCACCGCUGUGAGACUAAAUCACGACGCAUGUGGCUUUGCUGGGUCACGCCCCCGCCUUCCACCACCGCCAUCCAGUCGCUUUCAAUAUCUCAUCAGAUUGAAUUACAGCAGGGUGGUGCUCCAGUGAGGAAAUGAAGCCACAUGUGUGUCUCUCUCUUUGUGCAUCAACUUCAGUCUAUGCGCGUUUCUAAUGUCUCUCUCAUGCUCGUUUACAUCAUUGUUAGGGGUUAAAAAAAAGUAGCAUGGGUGUUUGAUCAAUAAAGGGUGUAGAUGAAGCUCUCCUUCAUGAGAUGGCCCUGUCCGGAUAGUUGAACCCAGGCGCAUAAAUCUUGAUUUCCCCCGCGGCUAAUCCGAUAACGGUCGGGCUUCGCUGGAAAUCAAGCGAUCAUACUCCACCAGGUUACCGCCAAAGGAAAUGGUCCGGCCCCUGUGAAAGCAUCGCUUCCUCUUUUUCAGCCGUCUGCCGGGCAGAGCACUUCUUCAAAUUGUGGUGCGGCCUUAAUAAAAAAAAUUAAGAAAUUUUCACACACCCAAAAAAAAAUACAAUAACAGGCUCAUGGGAAAUAUUUACACCAUUUUCUGGUUAUAUUUCUACGACCAUUGGGCAAUCAUACUGAUUUAUGAAUUUAAUGUGCCAGUCUAUGUUAGGAAAAAAAAAUUCAAGGCAUUUAUUAGAUUUGUGGUGAAAUUACCAGCUGGAGCAAACAUCAAUUAUAGAGAAACUUUAAAAACAUCACAGCAGUGACGGUAAGGAAUUUUGUCGUUUGCACCUGGGAAAAUUUGUUUGAAAUGAAUGAUAGUCUUUAUUUUAUUUGGUUUGGUUUAUUAAAAAAAAACAAUCCAAGCAGUUUAGAAAUGAUAAAGAUUAUGAACACACUAACUGAACAAAUUAAUUUGACGUAUGCCCUAAAAUAAGCUUUUCCAUAGGGGAAGUAAAGUCCAAUUUCAGCGAAACAAAAUAAGCGUGAGCUCAAAAGACAGAAUGAUAUCAAUACUUAUAAGCGAGAAACUCGAGCGCAAAAACGAGAAUGACGAGAUUGAGAGGUCUCCAAAAGAACACUUGAGCACGAACAGCAAACAAGGCUUGAAUACAAGGAUGACUGGAAGAACACAUUGGCAGCAGGUGUGCACGCUGGAGGAAAAGCCUCCCUCUGGAGGCACACAAGAACAGGAUCAUGACAAAAAUCACUAUGCGCGUACACUUUUAAGUGUGAGUUAACAGAUGCUAAAUCAAUUUGCACGCGUGAAAGCGAGCGUUUUAUACGAGGCCAUAGGUUUCAUCCGAGAAAAGUGCUUCUCAUUUCUCCCGCCGUCUGAAUGCCUAUUAAGCUGCUUUCAGCAUUUCUCAACCAAAAGCAAUCAAAGACGAUGAUUCCCAAAGACACAGAUAAGUGUGUAAAUGUCAUUGAGUGAGUCCGGGGCUUUUCCUUUCCAAAGGAGUCUGCUCCCAAGAGGCUCCUCCUACACGCAGCUGCUCUCUUUUUGACACCAUUGCCGUGCAGAUAUAUGGCUUCACAUGCGCAGCCCUCCUGAGUCCGUAUUGGGUUCGUGCAACUUUAUUCUCCACGCCUCGCCUUCGUCUAUCCGCCAUGCUUGCCCAAUCGCUUUCCCGUCCUAUUAAGACUCGGGGGGAGGGGGGGGGGGGGGGGGGGACUGCUUGUCGGCAUGCUGGCUGGAGAACAAGCUGAGAGGCGGCAAGGCCAAUGCAAGCUUUGGAUAAAAGUGCAGCCGGACAAAAAAAAAAAAAAGACGAAAAGCGGCUCGGGUGGAGAGCAAUCAGCGCCGCGGAUAGCUCAGUGAGGCAAACAUACGAUCGUUUGUGUAUUAUCAUCUUUGAACAGUGCUCACCAAUUAUUCACUGGGCUCAAUGUACUGGGAAUUGCUUUAAUUGGAAUUUUUGGUUUAUUUCUUGCCGUGCAGCUUUAGAAUUACAGACCAUAUCUAUAUACAGUAUCUGAAUAUCAUAUUGCUGGAGCCUGUUCCAGCUGACUUAGGUGAAAGGCGAUUCGCCCCCUUGAACUGGUGGCCGGUUAGUCACAGGGCACAUACAGCGACGAAUAACCAUACACACCCACGUUCAUUGAGAACCGAUCCUACGCUGCCCCACACGCAUUUUAGGCGAGUGUACCAUGACAGCAUCAGUGACAAAUAUCAAAUAAUAUUCUACUGUACUUUUUUUUUUUUUUUUCAAACGUAAAUUUGGCAAGCAGUACAGAGACAAGGCAAGGAGACUGUUGACAUUUGUCAACAAGUCCUUUCGCCAAUCAGGACACAAAACACAAAGCACUAUAAAAAAAUAAAAAUAAAAAAGCCCUGUCCUUUCAAAAAAA